rnacentral:rRNA from 1 species
UACGGAAGGCAGCAGUGGGGAAUAUUGCACAAUGGGCGCAAGCCUGAUGCAGCCAUGCCGCGUGUAUGAAGAAGGCCUUCGGGUUGUAAAGUACUUUCAGUCGUGAGGAAGGUGUUAAGGUUAAUAACCUUAGCAAUUGACGUUAGCGACAGAAGAAGCACCGGCUAACUCCGUGCCAGCAGCCGCGGUAAUACGGAGGGUGCGAGCGUUAAUCGGAAUUACUGGGCGUAAAGGGCACGCAGGCGGUUAAUUAAGUUGGAUGUGAAAUCCCCGGGCUUAACCUGGGAAUGGCAUUCAAGACUGGUUAGCUAGAGUCUUGUAGAGGGGGUAGAAUUCCAUGUGUAGCGGUGAAAUGCGUAGAGAUGUGGAGGAAAUACCGGUGGCGAAGGCGGCCCCUGGACAAAGACUGACGCUCAUGUGCGAAAAGCGUGGGGAGCGAAAACAGGGAUUAGAUACC